rnacentral:rRNA from 1 species
UAUUGCACAAUGGGCGAAAGCCUGAUGCAGCGACGCCGCGUGGGGGAUGAAGGCCUUCGGGUUGUAAACCCCUUUCAGCAGGGAAGAAGCGAAAGUGACGGUACCUGCAGAAGAAGCGCCGGCUAACUACGUGCCAGCAGCCGCGGUAAUACGUAGGGCGCAACCGUUGUCCGGAUUUAUUGGGCGUAAAGAGCUCGUAGGCGGUUUGUCGCGUCUGCUGUGAAAACCCGAGGCUCAACCUCGGGCCUGCAGUGGGUACGGGCAGACUAGAGUGCGGUAGGGGAGACUGGAAUUCCUGGUGUAGCGGUGGAAUGCGCAGAUAUCAGGAGGAACACCGAUGGCGAAGGCAGGUCUCUGGGCCGCAACUGACGCUGAGGAGCGAAAGCAUGGGGAGCGAACAGG